rnacentral:rRNA from 1 species
AACGAUCGCUGGCGGCAUGCCUAACACAUGCAAGUCGAACGAAGCCUUCGGGCUUAGUGGCGCACGGGUGCGUAACGCGUGGGAAUCUGCCCCUUGCUUCGGAAUAACAGUUAGAAAUGACUGCUAAUACCGGAUGAAGUCUUCGGACCAAAGAUUUAUCGGCAAGGGAUGAGCCCGCGUAGGAUUAGGUAGUUGGUGGGGUAAAGGCCUACCAAGCCGACGAUCCUUAGCUGGUCUGAGAGGAUGAUCAGCCACACUGGGACUGAGACACGGCCCAGACUCCUACGGGAGGCAGCAGUGGGGAAUAUUGGACAAUGGACGCAAGUCUGAUCCAGCAAUGCCGCGUGAGUGAUGAAGGCCUUAGGGUUGUAAAGCUCUUUUACCAGGGAUGAUAAUGACAGUACCUGGAGAAUAAGCUCCGGCUAACUCCGUG